GACGAACGCUGGCGGCGUGCUUAACACAUGCAAGUCGAACGAUGAACCCGGAGCUUGCUCUUGGGGAUUAGUGGCGAACGGGUGAGUAACACGUGAGUAACCUGCCCUGGACUCUGGGAUAAGCGUUGGAAACGACGUCUAAUACCGGAUAGGACCUUGGAUCGCAUUAUCUGGGGUGGAAAGUUUUUUCUUUCUGGGAUGGACUCGCGUCCUAUUCGCUUGUUGGUGAGGUAAUGGCCCACCAAGGCGACGACCGGUAGCCGGCCUGAGAGGGUGACCGGCCGCACUGGAACUGAGACACGGUCCAGACUACUACGGGAGCAGGCAGUGGGGAAUAGUAGACGAUGGGCGCAUGCCUGAUCGAGCGAAACCGCGUGGGUGAAGAGGGGCUUCGGGUAUGACAGCCCUCUUGUUGUGAAAGAAAAGCAGCAGGUUAAAAGCCCUCUGUUUUGACGGUACCUGAAGAAUAAGCACCGGCUAACUUCGUG
rnacentral:rRNA from 1 species